rnacentral:rRNA from 1 species
CUAAGUCUGAUGUGAAAGACCUUCGGCUUAACCGGAGAAGUGCAUCGGAAACUGGAUAACUUGAGUGCAGAAGAGGGUAGUGGAACUCCAUGUGUAGCGGUGGAAUGCGUAGAUAUAUGGAAGAACACCAGUGGCGAAGGCGGCUACCUGGUCUGCAACUGACGCUGAGACUCGAAAGCAUGGGUAGCGAACAGGAUUAGAUACCCUGGUAG